rnacentral:rRNA from 1 species
UACGAAGGGGGCUAGCGUUGCUCGGAAUCACUGGGCGUAAAGGGUGCGUAGGCGGGUUCUUAAGUCAGAGGUGAAAUCCUGGAGCUCAACUCCAGAACUGCCUUUGAUACUGAGGAUCUUGAGUCCGGGAGAGGUGAGUGGAACUGCGAGUGUAGAGGUGAAAUUCGUAGAUAUUCGCAAGAACACCAGUGGCGAAGGCGGCUCACUGGCCCGAUACUGACGCUGAGGCACGAAAGCGUGGGGAGCAAACAGG